rnacentral:lncRNA from 1 species
UGACCAUGUGGCUGACCUUCCACCCUCACCUCCCGUCAGAGUCAAAACUUCACUCGUUCUUUCAAAAAUAUUUAUAGUAUGUGCCAGGUAUUAUGACCCCGCCUCUCUGGCUCAAUCUGGCUGACCCCCAAAUAAGGAAGAGAUGCAAGCUGGGCCGUGAGUUCUGGGUCUGGGUCGGGUGCUGAUCUGCGUCAGGUGCCUGAAGCUGCCGGCGGCCACACUUCCUGCCUGGAGGAAGACGCCCGUCUCCAGGGAGAACACCUGUUCGUGCUGCUCCAAAACUCCAGCUUCACCCGAGGGAAAAUCAUCUCAGAAGCCACAGGGUGCAGAGGGAAGCCCUGACCUUGAACUAGACCAUGGCUGGCAAAGACAUGCAUUCGUGCUUGCCCACGGCAGAUGUGACGACUCAGCCAUGAACCUCUCUCAUCACGUCUGAACCAGGCCUGAGACCCCUUCUCAACACAGCUUCCCAGGCAGCCACCCUCCUGAAUGAGUCGGUCGGCACCCCUGAUGCAGAUGAAAGAUCCUUGAAGACAAGGUGGCGGGUGGCGGAUGUAUGAUGUGGCCUCACAAACACUGAGAUGAGGGAAAGAAUGCCUAGACGGAGCCCACACUGUUCCUUUAAAACACAACAUGCCACCUUAAAACAAUGCGGGAAGAACCACUAAACUCAGUGAGCAAACAACUGACCUGCCCAGUUGGGUAGUCGUGGCUAAAGCGGCUGCCUAAGGUCUACCCGUUCCUUUAAACGAGACGCUCUGUCCUGAGAGGGCUCGGACCCUGGGAGUUGAGCUGCGUGACUGGUGCCAAGCGAAACCUCUGC